UGGAGAGUUGUCCGAGUGGCCGAAGGAGCACGAUUGGAAAUCGUGUAGGCGCCUAAAGCGUCUCCAGGGUUCAAAUCCCUGACUCUCCGCCAG
rnacentral:tRNA from 1 species